rnacentral:rRNA from 1 species
AGUGAACGUUGGCGGCGUGGAUUAGGCAUGCAAGUCGAGCGAGAACCGUAGCAAUACGGGGACAGCGGCGAAAGGGACAGUAAUGUGUAGGUACCUACCUCCGGGUUCGGGAUAGCUGCGGGAAACUGCAGGUCAUACCGAAUAACGUCUCCGGACCAAAGGUGUGAUUCCACCUGGAGAGGGGCCUGCAUCCUAUUAGCUUGUUGGCGGGGUAACGGCACACCAAGGCGACGAUGGGUGGCGGGUGUGAGAGCACGACCCGCGUCACUGGGACUGAGACACUGCCCAGACACCUACGGGUGGCUGCAGUCGUGAAUCUUCGGCAAUGGGCGCAAGCCUGACCGAGCGACGCCGCGUGCGGGAUGAAGGCCUUCGGGUUGUAAACCGCUGUCGUAGAGGAGGAAAUGCAGGGGGGUUCUCCCCUCUGUUUGACCUAUUCUAGGAGGAAGUACGGGCUAAGUUCGUGCCAGCCGCCGCCGUAA